AUGUCAUGGGAGGAUAUGACAAGGCCUAAGAGAGCUGGUGGUAUAGGUUUUCGUGAUAUGCACCUUUUUAACCAAGCGUUGCUAGCCAGGCAAGUUUGGAGACUAAUCCAACAUACGGAUAGUCUAUGUGCGAGGGUCCUUAAGUCCAAAUAUUUUCCAAAUGGGAACAUCACCGAUACUGUAUUUGCGUCCGAUGUAUCCCCGUCAUGGAGAGGUAUUGAGUUUGGUCUGGAACUACUUAAAAAAGGCCUCAUUUGGAGAAUUGGAAAUGGAAGGAGGAUACAAAUAACGAGGGACCAGUGGAUCUUGAGGAAGGAAGGAUUGGAAGCAGCGUCUUUUGUGAGAAGGUCAAGACUCAGAUGGGUCAACCAACUCAUUGAUGAUGAGACCAAGGAAUGGAAAUAUGAUCUGGUGAAACAGAUAUUCCACGACUUUGAUGCGGAUGAUAUUUGUUAG
rnacentral:rRNA from 1 species